AUACAAAUUUAUCUGCCGUAAACCGUCUGACAGAACGAUUUUCAGCAAAAACAUCCGGAAAGUGGCCGCCAGCCGAUGUUUUCAACUAGACGAGUAUGAAAGGGAAUACAGUGUUAGAUAUCAUCGAGGAUAUGUGACCAAAGGGUUUUAGAAGUCUUGAGAGAUGUAUGUAGAUCAAACCCAUCAAGUAAGCCAACACCAUGUCUACAAGGUCAUACCUCUAGAACCUCUCACACCUCUACAGCUGAGGACAAAUCUAAAAGUGGACAGAGGGAUAGUAUGAAUGCUUCAGUGAAAUUAAGGAGCUCAGGUUCUAACAAGCGUAGUAGAGCAGUGCAACACAGAGGUACUCCGAUGUGCAAUUUUACAAGUUUUUCCAGACAGUGAUUACAGCGAGGCUUGAAGACUACUGUACACAAUUUCUUAACAAAUCCAAAAACAAAGCCGUGUAACAUUCAACUAAGUGAUUCAAAGAAAACCAAACUACAAACAAGAAAGGUUCUAUUGAAUGGAGUGACAUUUUUACCCUGAAGCGUCCUAUUAAGAUAAAGAGAAUCUAGUCGUUCGUGCCAUGGCACAAAAAUUAUCAGACACAUAAGUAACAUUCAAGUAGUAGUAUGCAUUUACAUGGAGGAUAUGACAUAAUUGUAUUUUCAUAUUGAAUUUAUCAUAUAAGUUGAAUAAAGAAAAUAAAAUGUGAGGCUCUGUCGAGCAUUUUAAAAGUUUUAAUAAAUGCAAUUUGGAAAGUCACAAAUGUAAUAUUCUUUUAUCACAUGUUAGAUUUUCCUGUCAAAACAUUGAAAAUUAUUUUUUCUUUUACUAUUUUAACAAGCCAACUUAAUCAACACUUCCAAUACUUUAAACGACAUUGACGUCAAAUCUUUAUUACACUAGUGUAUAAUAAUUUUUUUGUAAUGACUUUAUUACAAUCCUGUGAUGUCAAACAUAUGAUAAUGUUCUAUUAGCAUUAAUUGUAGACUUGUUGAACUUUUUUCUUAACAAACUCUAUGAAAUACUGGUUGAACCCUAAUAGUGCUGGAAACAAACGUUUCAGGCCAUGUUGACCAGUGUAGACCAGAUCUGCAGGCACCCUUGCCAGUUGAUCGAACCACACACUUAAUUGCCAACAUGGUUGGAAGGGUCUUAUUGUCCAAGCUGCAAAGAGU